rnacentral:rRNA from 1 species
AUACGGAGGGUGCAAGCGUUAAUCGGAAUUACUGGGCGUAAAGCGCGCGUAGGCGGCUUUGUAAGUCGGAUGUGAAAGCCCCGGGCUUAACCUGGGAAUUGCAUUCGAUACUGCAGAGCUAGAGUAUGGUAGAGGGAAGUGGAAUUUCCGGUGUAGCGGUGAAAUGCGUAGAUAUCGGAAGGAACACAAGUGGCGAAGGCGACUUCCUGGGCCAAUACUGACGCUGAGGUGCGAAAGCGUGGGGAGCAAACAGGAGUAGAAACCCGAGUAGUCC